rfam:Acetonema longum DSM 6540 Contig00126, whole genome shotgun sequence.
GGGCCUAUAGCUCAGCGGUAGAGCAGCCGGCUCAUAACCGGCUGGUCCCUGGUUCGAUCCCAGGUGGGCCCA